rnacentral:tRNA from 1 species
GCUGGUUAGCUUAGUUGGUUGAGCACUCCACCUGUAAUGGAGAGGUCCCUGGUUCGAUACCCGGACUGAGCG